ACUAGAUCGGCAUCGAACUAGUAUUAAAGGAGCGAAUGCUCCGCUACUGGAUGGACUCGCGGUGCAUUAGCUAGUUGGUGAGGUAGAGGCUCACCAAGGCGAUGAUGCAUAGCCGACCUGAGAGGGUGAACGCCACAUUGGGACUGAGACACGGCCCAGACUCCUACGGGAGGCAGCAGUGGGGGAAUUUUCGUCAAUGGGGGAAACCCUGAACGAGCAAUGCCGCGUGAGUGAAGAAGGAUUUCGGUCU
rnacentral:rRNA from 1 species